GGGUCAGUAGGUUGGUCGUGCCACCGGUACGUACUGGUCUCACUGAUUCCUCCUUCCUGAAGAACCGUAAUGCCAUUAAUUUGGUGUUGCGGGGAAACAGGACUGUUACUUUGAAAAAAUGAGAGUGUUUAAAGCAAGCUAACGCUUGAAUACAUUAGCAUGGAAUAAUGAAAUAGGACGAUCGAUCCUAUUUUGUUGGUUUCUAGGAUUGACGUA
rnacentral:rRNA from 1 species